GAGGUUCCUUAUGUAGCACACAUUGGCAUGUCAAGGUCAAGGUCUGAUUUUGGUUUUAGGUGACAGCAGACAAGGUAAUGUGGCAAAUAUACAGGGUACACAAUGACUAGGAGGCCUAGAUGCUGUUCCCGUGGGGCCUGGUGGAAGAUGACCCCAGAUCUAACCGCGUAUACAAUCAGCUGCUGAUCAUUCAUCCAUCUGAGGUAGUACCUCACAGUGGGAGUCAUCUCCACCAGUGGGCUCCCUGCCCCUGACACAGGUCAAUGGCUCUGAGGAACUGAAAAACUUUGGGAGCAGAUCACAGAAGACUCUGGUAAGUUGAGCUGCUGAAGGCUUAGAACAUGAUUUCGCUUGCAUACUGGGAAAUAACUAUUUGCACGCAAAAUUAUCCCAUUUAAUCCCUCAAUAACCUUGUGAAAUUCUGAUGGUGCUUUGCAGAUUGGGAGAAUGGAGGCCCAGAGAGAUUUAGAUCACACACUGGAAGUCAAAGACAUCAAAUUGAAGCCGAAAUUGAAAACAAAUCUCAUCGAUUUCAAAGUCUGUCCUGUCCGUGCCCACUGACCCAGCUAAAUUUUCCUUGAAUACAUUUUCCACCACACUUCCCUCCCCAUGUUAGCUCACCGCUGAUGGGCUACGACUUCCUGGGCGUGUGAGUGUCUGGGUAAGUAAGCAGGUUCUGAAUUCAGGCUGCACCACGCAUGCCUAUCCUGCCUGCACCAUUCACUGGCCUUGAGGCUUUGGGCGAGGGAAUGAAUUUCUCUGUGCCUCAGUUUCCUUGUCUGUAAAGUGGGGUGUAUUUGUCUGGGUUUUUCAGAGAAACAGAACAGAUAGGGUGUGUGUGCAUGUACACGUACAUAUAUGAACACACACAUAAUCCUUUUUUUUAAUUAAUUAAUUAAUUAAUUUAAUUUAAUUUUAUUUUUUUCACACACAUAAUCCUAUUCGUAUGUAUAGGAAUAGAGAGAUUUGUUUUAAGGAAUUGGUUCGAGUGAUGGUAGAGACCGACAGC
rnacentral:lncRNA from 12 species